rnacentral:lncRNA from 1 species
AAAAUUAAAAAGAUUCGGUUUUUCGAUUUUUUGUCUAGAAUCGAGAAUCGAACCGUACUCGUCGGUUCUAAAUUCAAAUACCCGUUUGGGUAUUUAAUUUGACAAGAAUCGUCGAAUUAGGUUCAGUUCGAUUCAGUCGGUUCGGUUCGGGAGAUUUACCCAGCCCUAUGCAAAGCAUUGCAAAAGGCUUUUUCUUUCGCAACGUUUGCAGAGCAUUGCAAAAAUCUUUCUCUUUCACAACGUUUCUAAAAUAAUGUCUAAAACUCUCUUUCGUAACGUUUAUAAAAUGUUGCCAAAAACCUUCACUCGGAUAGCAAUCCAAGUCACUCCUCCUUAUUCCAAUCUCUGUCGUCAAAUACUCUUUAAAUCAAAGUCUCUCACUAAUCCUUCGAAUUCCCAAAUUUAAAGCACGCCAAAAUUUCUACCUUUUGUCCCUCCAUUCCCUAAGAUAAACCCUUCAUCCCUCCUAUUAUCCUCAAAAUUCCAUGUUCACCCAAAGAUUAAUCAAUAAAUACUCUUUUUGUAUAUAUACCUUCACUUCCAUCUUCCAAUGCCUCGUACAAAGUAGACAACUAGCAAAUCAAUAGGAGGCAAGGCUCUUUGUAAGUAUAUCAGUACCAAGGCCGCCAGGAAAUCUGUCUCGACGAUUGGUGGUGUUAAAAAGCCCCAUCGCUUCUGCCUGGUAUAUUGGCUCUCUAUGAGAUCUAGAAGUACAAGAAGUCUUUCACUCUUGAUCCGCAAGUCCCCCUUCCAGGGGCUGGUCCAUGAAAUCGCCCAGGACUUUAAAACUAAUUUUUGAUUCCAGCGCUCUACUGUGGUGGCGCUACAGAAGGCUGCAGAGGCGUACCUAGUUGGGCUUUUUUAGGAUACAAAUCUUUAUGCUAUUCAUGCCAAGAGGGUUGCUAUUAUGCCUAAGGAUAUCCAGCUUGUGAGGAGGAUUAGGGGUGAACAUGUGUAAAUGGGUUUGAUCUAGAUCUGUCUUUUUGGAGGGUUUCAUAUUGGUGAUGGCUGUGUAAACUUUGUUUCAAUCAGUAGAUGAGUAUCUGCAAAACUCCUGGUUUGCUACUGUAAUGAAAUUGAUGAUUAAUUGAAUCUACAUUUUAU